AUACGGAGGGCGCAAGCGUUGCCCGGAAUCACUGGGUGUAAAGGGUGCGUAGGCGGGGCUGUAAGUCAGAGGUGAAAGCCCUCGGCUCAACCGGGGAAUUGCCUCUGAUACUGCAGCUCUUGAGUCCCUGAGAGGCCGCUGGAAUUCCUGGUGUAGCGGUGAAAUGCGUAGAUAUCAGGAGGAACACCGGAGGCGAAGGCGGGCGGCUGGACGGGGACUGACGCUGAGGCACGAAAGCGUGGGGAGCAAACAGUACUAGAAACCCUAGUAGUCC
rnacentral:rRNA from 1 species